rnacentral:rRNA from 1 species
UACGGAGGGUGCAAGCGUUAUCCGGAUUCACUGGGUUUAAAGGGUGCGUAGGAGGGCAGGUAAGUCAGUGGUGAAAUCUCCAAGCUUAACUUGGAAACUGCCGUUGAUACUAUCUGUCUUGAAUACCGUGGAGGUGAGCGGAAUAUGUCAUGUAGCGGUGAAAUGCAUAGAUACAAUCAAGAACUCCGAUUGCGUAGGCAGCUAACUAGGCUGUAACUGACGCUGAGGCACGAAAGCGUGGGGAGCGAACAGG